CAUGCUCCCCGCGCCGAGUAUAUAAGGAUGUGUAUUUACGCCAUUGUAUGUAGAACAUCCUCCAAAUUCUCCCCAGGGCAUUAAUUGUACGAGUACAGCAUUCAGAAUGAAUUCCAAGCAGCUUUUGGUGUUAGUUUUGGUAGCUGUCGUCCUGAUUUCUUCCUGUGACUCCCAGCUCUUUGGUCGAAUUGGUGGGCGGCGUGGAGGUAGAAGGGGAAGAGGAGGGGGUCUGCUAGCAGGGAUUGGCCUUGGACUCCUUGGGGCAGGUCUUUUGGGAGGAUUUAAUCGGCCUUACUACGGCUAUGGUUACCCUCACGGAGGUUUUGGCUACCCUUACGGGGGGUUUGGCUACCCCUAUGGGGGGUUCGGCUACCCGUAUGGUGGGUUCGGAUUCCGUGGUGGAUUUCUACCUCUUUAUUAAAUGUUCGACCUUAAUCCUGUGUAUUUAUGGCUUUCGUGCAUCGGAAAGUCAAGAAAAAUUGUGUACAAAUGUUUUGUGGAUGAUUUUAAUAAAAGAAAUAAAAAUA